AUUCAGAUGAUGAGUCCUAAAUAAAACGAAACGCGCGUCCUGGAU
rnacentral:hammerhead_ribozyme from 1 species